GACCUGAGACUCAUUCAGACCUGGGGACAUCAGGUAGAGAGACUCAUUCAGACCUGGGGACAUCAGGUAGGAAGAGAAAGCAGAAAUGUUUUGGCCCUCAGGACCUGAAUAAUACUUUGACAUUGAAACACAACAGCUAUACAUAACUAGGUGAAAGCAGACCUGACGCAACACACACACACACACAAUAAGCACACGCACACACACACACACACACACACACACACACACAAUAAGCACACUGUGGUAAGACUGUUUUGGGUUGCAUUUUGUCUGCAUUUAGCCAAUCUGUAACAAUCAGAAGAAUAAAAUACACAUCCAAACAUCUUGACCUUUCAACAAACAGCAAGAUGGAAAUGAACCUUGUGAAGGAAACAGCAACAUAAAGUGUUUUAAUAGGAGGUAACUGGCAGAAUAAAGGAAACUCCAACAGUGUUUUAAUAGGAGGUCGGGUCGUCCACCAGGUAACUGGCAGAAUAAAGGAAACUCCAACAGUGUUUUA